GUUGUUGAAAGAUUAAACAGUGCUAUCCAUUGCAUUUAUCAUUGUAUUACUCUAACCAUUGUGGUAAUAUGUUUCAUUAGAGUAAAAUAGUUGUUACUGUUGUAGAGAGGGAAUUGUUUUUGUGAUCAUUGAAUUUAUUCUUGAUGAAUAUGUGUUUUUUCUAUUGUCAGGAGUAUUUUGCUAGAAAGACCAGAAAAUGUGAGGGAAUUUGCAUCCAAAUAUUUUUCUGAUCCUGAGCUUCGAAGAAAAGUGGAAUUACAAGUUACAGAAAUGAAUAACAGAAUAAAACGUACCAACAAACCAUAGUGUCACCACACUCGGUGCCUGCAUAAUUCUUGGGAUAGGACCCCUCAUACUGUUAUUUUUUAUGUUUAUUUCAAAUUAGUUUUAGAAAUAGAACAGAAACCUCUGUUUGGAUGAAAAUUGUAAUUUUUUUCUUGUCUUGGGCCUUGAGGUUAAGUUGUAAAUAUAUAGGUUUACUGUAUUUAUGUGAGUCAAAGUAUUGGCAAAACAUUUUAAAUUUAUUCUUUUUCAGGGCUACAAUGAAUAAAAAUAAAUUAUUGAUUUUA